AAACAUCGUAUAAACUCAUUUUUAACGCUAAUGCUUUAUGUAUAAAGCAACCAGCAGAUUACGAAAAAUUAAAUUGCUCCUAAAAUAGGGUUUCCAAGACUGAUAAUUUUAUUAUAAGCGCUAAGAGGUUCAAUAUAGAAACAUUCCAGAAAAGCACAAUCAACCAGUAAUGAGAAAACUCAAGUAUUGAAACUUCAUGUAGAACAAAGCUAUUGUGGCAGUUCAUUUGAUCGAUAAACUAACAUAUUUCCCCAAAAUCUUCUCCUCAAACAAGCACUUUACCACAGCGAAUAAACAAACAAUCAACCAAGCUUUCUUGCUUCAGUGGCUCAAAAUGCACAGGAACAGCUCUUUCAGUUGCUAAAUCAAGUGGAAGAAGGAAGAUAAUUGAAAGAAGAGAGCAAAUGAGAAACUAAAUCAAUGGUGGAUAGAAGUUUUCAUUUCUCCUGAAACUAAACAUAGUGAACCCCAAAUCAAAGAUGGAGAAAACACAAGUGACUAAAAGAAAAGAAGAGGGCACAAGAGACACUUACAGAUGGGAAACAGGUGUGUGGGCUUCAUCCUCGUGGCUGUCAGAGAAACUUACAAAAAAAAUAUUUGUAAAAAGUAUUUUUCAGGUAACUUAUUUUCCGCCUACAAGUGGAGGACUAAUGGUGAAUUACUUUUCACUGUUAUUUAAUUUUACCUACUAAACACAAAAGAAGUAACUGGAUUGAAAAACUGAAGGGUAGGUAUGUGAUUUCACUCGCAAGUGAAAUGCACUUUCCACCACUGAUUUUCAUUUCCCACUUCCCAAAUAGAAGAAAGAAAGUAAAUUCUCUAUUUCUCC
rnacentral:lncRNA from 1 species